UACGUAGGGACCAAGCGUUGUUCGGAUUUACUGGGCGUAAAGGGCGCGUAGGCGGCAUGACAAGUCAGUUGUGAAAUCUCUGGGCUUAACUCAGAACGGCCAAGUGAUACUGUCGCGCUAGAGUGCAGAAAGGGCAAGCGGAAUUCCUGGUGUAGCGGUGAAAUGCGUAGAUAUCAAGAGGAACACCUGAGGCGAAGGCGGGUUGCUGGGCUGGCACUGACGCUGAUGCGCGAAAGCCAGGGGAGCAAACGGG
rnacentral:rRNA from 1 species